GGGUUGUGAGGUUAAGCGACUAAGCGUACACGGUGGAUGCCCUGGCAGUCAGAGGCGAUGAAGGGCGUGCUAAUCUGCGAUAAGCGCCGGUAAGGUGAUAUGAACCGUUAUAACCGGCGAUACCCGAAUGGGGAAACCCAGUGUGACUCGUCACACUAUCAUUAACUGAAUCCAUAGGUUAAUGAGGCGAACCGGGGGAACUGAAACAUCUAAGUACCCCGAGGAAAAGAAAUCAACCGAGAUUCCCCCAGUAGCGGCGAGCGAACGGGGAGGAGCCCAGAGCCUGAAUCAGCAUGUGUGUUAGUGGAAGCGUCUGGAAAGGCGCGCGAUACAGGGUGACAGCCCCGUACACAAAAGCGCAUGUGCUGUGAGCUCGAUGAGUAGGGCGGGACACGUGGUAUCCUGUCUGAAUAUGGGGGGACCAUCCUCCAAGGCUAAAUACUCCUGACUGACCGAUAGUGAACCAGUACCGUGAGGGAAAGGCGAAAAGAACCCCGGCGAGGGGAGUGAAAAAGAACCUGAAACCGUGUACGUACAAGCAGUGGGAGCACCCUUUGGG
rnacentral:rRNA from 4 species